GAUGUAGUGGUAUCACAGUUGUUAGAUAAGUGACUUUUCAAAUUCUUUUUUUUUUUUUUUUUUUUUUUUU
rnacentral:ribozyme from 14 species